AUGAAUAGGGGGAGGGUCCCCUGAAAUGGGGGCGUGAAGAAAAAGCGAUACGGCACGCACACACGCCCAGGAGAGGGAGGGAAGAGCCCAGCACUCCCUCCUCUCUCGUGAUUUGCUGAUCCCACCCGCCGCCGUGCGCGCACACCGAUCCCUCGUUGAGGCAGGGUGCUCGGGCCUUGGGCCGCUUGCGCUUUCCGGCGGUGGGAUCGGCCUGCUGCCCUUCCUCGCCCUUCUCUCUCUUUCUCCCCCCCCACUUCACUGAUAUUGGCCAAUUACAUAUUUGGAGCGGAAAUGGCCUCUUUCACUCCCCUGGAAGGGAAGCCCGAGGGCUCCUCGUCCCCUUCUUGGCGGCUUCGAAUGGCGCGGGUAGGUCAGGCUUGAUCCCGGGCUGGUGCAUCGGAGCGUCUCCGGGCAGGAGGCGAAGGACUGCCGUCCCCUCCCCUCUUCCUCAUCCACCCCCCCUCCCUUGCGGGAGAGAGAUUUCACGGCUGGCCGAGGACAAUGGCCGAGUGACCAGUGCGAACUCGGGAGGCAAAUCGCCCCUCCAUUUCCGGUCCUCAGUUCAAACUGGACAAUGCCAGCCAGCUCUUCCCCUGGAGCAAAGCGGAGCCCUUUCAACGGGCAGCCACUUCGUCUUCGAAAAGCCCGACGCCCGAAGAAGCACACGCCCACACGCGUGGAAGGACCUUUCCACUCACCCUUUCCUCUCCUCUGCACCCCUCUCUCUUGAGCAUCUUUCUGGACUCCGGGGCAGAUUUAAUCCAAUGGCCAGAAAGGACCUCCAGGGUGGAAAAAGUAAAAUCCGUAUUUAGCCACGUGUAUGGGUCCCUUCACACGUUACGCCUCAAAGCAUAGGCCUCUCCAGUGGUUGGUUGGUUUUCUUGUUUUAUCCGCGCCCCCAUGACCGUCGAUGCUAUUUGCAAAGUCGUGUAAGCCUAAGGGAUCGAGGACUGGAUGCACACACACACUCAGACCACAGAGUUCCUGCGAGGCCAAAAUGGCUCGUGUUGACACACGAGGACAGAGCAGGGCUCCCCCAAGGAGAGGGCAACAGGGAGCUCAGCGUCGCCACCCAAUCAUCAACUGCCCAGACAAAGCCAGGUGUUUUCAUAACAGCAAGUCCAUGGCCGCGAUGAUAAAGAGGUACAGGCCUCUGAAAAACCUAUCGAGUUGACUAGGAUAAAUAGAUGUAACUUUUUAUAUAGAAGGGUUGCUCAGGAAAAAAAGGGAAGUCGAACAGGAUGUGGCAAGCAGUUCCGUUCUUCAGGUUAUACUGUUACUGGUCGAAUCCUGUUUUCUCUAUAUGCCUACUUUUGAAAUCAGGGUUUAGUUUUGGAGCAGACAACGGCACAAGGACCUCUAUCUCUCCCCUUUGAGGCAUGGGAAUCGUUAACAUGCCACGUACUGUUAGAAGCUCGCUUUCUCUUACUCAUUAAGAAAACACACGCAUGCACACACACCCCUUUACCUCCCCCACAAAUACCCAUUCAGAAUUCUGAAUGGGUGGUGGUGGUUGUUUUUAAUCAGCAAUGGCUUCACCAGGAAAUCGGGAUUAUUGUUCACAGCUUAAAAGAGGUGAUUUUAAGAGCUUUUGAACAGUGCUUUUGCUAACACAAAACAAAACACCUCCGUGGUGCAACUGAUGCAGUGCAAUGGAGGAAUUGGAUGUGCAGGAUCAAAACUUCAGAAUAUUACCCCCUUUUUAAAGGAGCUUGGGCAACACAGAAGGAAGAGAAAGGUUGUAUUAAAGAACUGCACGAAGCCGCACGCUCUGUCCGAGGUGCUGAUCUCUUCCGCUCAGUGAUGCUCUAGAGCUCUCCAGGGUGCUGAAAGACACCGCCGUUACACAUUGUCCAGGAUUUUGAGCGGGAAAUAAACAGAAGUUAAACUGAAGCACAACCAUAUCUGGAAACAAGAAGAGAUCAGAAUCAUGGCUGUAGAUUCAUGACAUGUAGGCCGGUAUGUGCUUCUUUGUACAAUUGCUGAAAUGUAUCAUAAUAGUAUUGCAAUAUGCAAAACAGCAUCGCAAAACUGUUUUAA